rnacentral:rRNA from 1 species
CCCUUAGAUGUUCUGGGCCGCACGCGCGCUACACUGAUGCAUUCAACGAGUCUAAAACCUGCUCUGAUAGGGGUGGGUAAUCUUUUGAAUGUGCAUCGUGAUUGGGAUAGAUGAUUGCAAUUUUUCAUCUUCAACGAGGAAUGCCUAGUAAACGCAAGUCAUCAGCUUGCAUUGAUUACGUCCCUGCCCUUUGUACACACCGCCCGUCGCUCCUACCGAUUGAAUGAUCCGAUGAAUAUCAUGGAUUGAGGAUGCAAGCAGGUUCGCCUGUCUUCAUCUUCGAGAAGUGUAGUAAAUCUUAUCAUUUAGAGGAAGGAGAAGUCGUAACA